GACGAACGCUGGCGGCGUGCCUAAUACAUGCAAGUCGAACGCUUCUUUUUCACCGAACUUCGGUUCAUCGAAAAAGAGGAGUGGCGAACGGGUGAGUAACACGUGGGUAACCUGCCCAUCAGAAGGGGAUAACACUUGGAAACAGGUGCUAAUACCGUAUAAUGCUUUUUCUCGCAUGAGAGCAAGCUGAAAGGCGCUUUUGCGUCACUGAUGGAUGGACCCGCGGUGCAUUAGCUAGUUGGUGAGGUAACGGCUCACCAAGGCCACGAUGCAUAGCCGACCUGAGAGGGUGAUCGGCCACACUGGGACUGAGACACGGCCCAGACUCCCACGGGAGGCAGCAGUAGGGAAUCUUCGGCAAUGGACGAAAGUCUGACCGAGCAACGCCGCGUGAGUGAAGAAGGUUUUCGGAUCGUAAAACUCUGUUGUUAGAGAAGAACAAGGAUGAGAGUAAAAUGUUCAUCCCUUGACGGUAUCUAACCA
rnacentral:rRNA from 1 species